GAUUGCUCUAUUGAGAGAGAGUGUCUUCUGGUGACACAACACUUGCAUCUGCAUCUGAGGCUUCUUACUCCGUGACUGUGUCUCGAGAUGACCACAAUCAAAUACUUAAAUGUAUCCAAUAGAUUGUGGCAUCCACCACUGCGGACAUCAUAGCCACUUUAGCACAUACAGGACCACCAUACCAAGAGAACGAUUGGUGGAAGGCAUGAGCAGGCUGGACUCUACUACCUGGACUGCACUAAACCGUCUACCAUUGUUGCUACAACUAUUGUUGCCUUUCUCCUCAUCAAAUUGCACGUUUAGCUAGGACAUCUUAUCAUUAUCAAAGCUUCAGCAUAUGGUUCCAAGUUGCAAAUCCAUUGCUGACCUUGAGUGUGAAGCAAGUGAACUCGGGAAGCAUUAUUGGUCAUAUUUUCUUAUUUGUAGUGUUUAGAAGUCCAUCUUUAUUUUCUUUGUACAUUCUGAUAUUUAGGGUCCUUUCAACAAUUAAUUAGAUUUUCUUAUUUUGUCA